rnacentral:rRNA from 1 species
UGCCAGCAGCCGCGGUAAUACGGAGGGUGCUAGCGUUGUUCGGAAUUACUGGGCGUAAAGAGCAUGUAGGCGGAUGAAUUAGUCAGAGGUGAAAGCCCCGAGCUCAACUUGGGAACUGCCUUUGAUACUGUUUAUCUAGAGUCCGAGAGAGGUUAGUGGAAUUCCCAGUGUAGAGGUGAAAUUCGUAGAUAUUGGGAAGAACACCAGUGGCGAAGGCGGCUAACUGGCUCGGUACUGACGCUGAGGCGCGAAGGCGCGGGUAGCGAACGGGAUUAGAUA